GACGAACGCUGGCGGCGUGCCUAAUACAUGCAAGUAGAACGCUGAAGGGGGAGCUUGCUUCUCCGGAUGAGUUGCGAACGGGUGAGUAACGCGUAGGUAACCUGCCUGGUAGCGGGGGAUAACUAUUGGAAACGAUAGCUAAUACCGCAUAAGAGUAGAUGUUGCAUGACAUUUGCUUAAAAGGUGCAAUUGCAUCACUACCAGAUGGACCUGCGUUGUAUUAGCUAGUUGGUGGGGUAACGGCUCACCAAGGCGACGAUACAUAGCCGACCUGAGAGGGUGAUCGGCCACACUGGGACUGAGACACGGCCCAGACUCCUACGGGAGGCAGCAGUAGGGAAUCUUCGGCAAUGGACGGAAGUCUGACCGAGCAACGCCGCGUGAGUGAAGAAGGUUUUCGGAUCGUAAAGCUCUGUUGUAAGAGAAGAACGAGUGUGAGAGUGGAAAGUUCACACUGUGA
rnacentral:rRNA from 1 species